rnacentral:lncRNA from 1 species
AACACCCCUGGUCUUUCUCUCUUCCUCUCAAGAUUUCCUCAGGCUACCCCUUUUCCUUCUAGCUCUCUCUCUCUGCUAACGCCGAGCCCUGAUUGUUAACCUGUGUCUCCCUCUUCAUCCUUCUGAGACAAUUACCCAGGAUGCGAAUGUUCCUCUGUGAGCCCGGGUGUACUGGCUGGGAUUGUGCUGGGCGACUUGGUGCUGACUCUGCUCAUCGCCCUGGCGGUGUACUCUCUGGGCCGCCUGGUCUCUCGAGGCCGAGGGACUGCAGACGGUAAGCGGAGCUGGUGGGGGCUGCUCUGGGGCACUUUGAGACCUGGCCUGGUGGGAGGGGGACAAAAUGAAAGCUUCAAGGUCACAAAUAUCGAAAGGGCUGGGGACGGGAGGGCUGGCUUGUUGUUGCUGUGUUUUUGUUUCCUCCCUUAAUGCUGAGAGUCCAAAUGGUUACAUUUGUAGCAAAUGCUCUGUACCAAC